UAGUUUUAUCAUAGGUCCUUGUCCAGCUC
rnacentral:piRNA from 1 species